rnacentral:rRNA from 1 species
CCUACGGGAGGCAGCAGUGAGGAAUAUUGGUCAAUGGUCGGGAGACUGAACCAGCCAAGCCGCGUGAGGGAGGAAGGUACAGAGUAUCGUAAACCUCUUUUGUCAGGGAACAAAGGCGGGGACGUGUCCCCGGAUGAGUGUACCUGAAGAACAAGCAUCGGCUAACUCCGUGCCAGCAGCCGCGGUAAUACGGAGGAUGUGAGCGUUUUCCGGAUUUCUUGGUUUUAAAGGGUGCUCAGUCGGUCUUUUAAGUCAGCGGUCAAAGCCCGGGGCUCAACCCCGGCCCGGCGUUGAAACUGGCAGUCUCGAGGUGGAGAGAAGUAUGCGGAAUGCGCGGGGUAGCGGUGAAAUGCAUAGAUAUCGCGCAGGACUCCGAUUGCGAAGGCAGCAUGCCGGAUCCACACUGACGCUGAGGCACGAAAGCGUGGGUAUCGAACAGGAUUAGAUACCCCUGGUAGUC